rnacentral:rRNA from 1 species
UAAAACGUGUCCCCCAAGCGUUAUCCGGAUUUAUUGGGCGUAAAGCGUCCGUAGGCGGUCUAGAAAGUCUUUGGUUAAAUACCCAGGGCUCAACCUUGGGAAUGCUAAAGAUACUUCUAGACUAGAGGGCGUUAGGGGCUGAUGGAACGCUCGGUGUAGGGGUGAAAUCCGUUGAUAUCGAGCGGAACACCAAAAGCGAAGGCAUUCAGCUGGGGCGACCCUGACGCUGAGGGACGAAAGCCAGGGGAGAGAAGAGGAUUAGAUACCCUCGUAUUCCUGGCCGUAAACGAUGGACACUGACUAUUGCGAGUGUCGACCCUCGCAGUGGCGAAGCUAACGCGUUAAGUGUCCCGCCUGGGAAGUACAGCCGCAAGGCUA